CGUGAACGCGUACUUGCUGUUCGUAUAUCCCUAAAGAUAAGGUUUGGGGGUCUCUACAGGGAACCGUAAAUUCCUGGCUACGGAUGGGUGCCUUUGGCUU
rnacentral:ncRNA from 2 species